ACAGACUGGUGAUUCUCAAGAUCCUUUUCCUCAAUAGCCUCCUUGGCCAUGCCUCUCUGGCCUCGGAUUCUCAUUCUCUCUGCGCCUCUCAGCCAGGUUUCAAAUGAAUGAUGUAACGCUGAAGAUUUAUAGAGUGUCCACAAUGUUCCUGCUCUGGCUUCUGCCCUCUGCUUCACUGCUCUCUCCUCCUGGACAGAACUUGCUGACCUUCUUCUUUCAGAGGAUCUAGUUCCUGGACCAGGGGUUGAACAUGUGCCAGCUUCCCUCUUCCCUCUGUGGACUCUAGUAUCUCUGGACCUCAGCGUACAGACACGAACUCACAUAUCUAUUAACGGAGAGACUUCAUGUACAGGUGCUGUGAAGGUGUCCAAGUCCUGAAAUGUGCUUCCUUUUUUAAAUGAUAGUCAGAGGAGCCAGCGAUAUUUUAAAAAUAUUCUUAUCUGGUGACAAGUUUUCAGUAAAGUUUCAGUAAAUUGCACUGGACCCAAAUUUGGGAAUCACGAAUCAAAUCCAACCCGUUCCUCCCGGGGGUGGGGAAACUGAAGCCUAACAAGCUCAAGGGACCCAUCCAAGAUCAGAUAGCAGGUUGUGGUAUGUGGGAUCUUCCAUCUUAGCUGUGGCGUUGAGGGAUGGUGUU